GCCUGAGUGGUUUAGUCGGUUUAGCAUCUGACUUCGACUCAGGUCAUGAUCUCACGGUUCGUAGGUUCAAGCCCCGCGUCGGGCU
rnacentral:tRNA from 1 species